UUUAUUAAGUACUACAUUAUUAUAAUUAAUGUUUCUUCAAUUAAUGACGACGAAUCAGGUGUAUAGUAAUAACAAUAGGCGAAAUAGUUUUCUAAACUCUUAUACUUGACUCAAAUUACGAACUAGACCAUUCGAUCCCACAAAGUUUAAAGUAAACACUAAAUUCAAAAAAAAAAUAGAAAUCAUAGGCCUCUUUGACCAUUAACCGACCUUAUGUGGCUCUAAUACAGAUGAAUUGGGAAAACGCAAAUCAACAAACAGACAAAGGGAAAAAAAGAUGAAAAAACCCUUUCUUCUUAAAAUCCAUCCACCCUUUCUGAAAAAUAGCAAAUCACCCACCUUCUAUAUAUAUCACCAUCCUCUCAAUUUCAAUUAUUUUUUCUUGUAAUCUCACUUCUCCUCAUUUUUCAAAUGAAAAUUCCACAUUCAUCAAAAACCCAACAAGAAAAUUAAUUGAAAGCGAAAGAAAAAAGCUUUCGAAAAUUGAAAUACCAAAUCGAAAUGGAUUUAUAUAUUUGAAGAAGGAUUAUUGCUGUCACUAAUUAUUUCUUUUUACUUUUUUUCAAAAGCAAAACUUUUAAAAAACAAAGAACAAAUUUUCAUCUCAUUUUUUAAAUUGAAGAUACAACUUUGAAUAUUUUACUGGGUAAGGAUUAGGAAUAGUUGGGUUUGAAUGUUUUCUUCUACAUUAAUAUUAGUUUUGAUGAAAUUAUAAGCUCAAAUGAGGCUAUUAAUGGGCUUUUUUUUGAGUUAGGGUUCUUCAGACCAUGGUGAAAAAUUAUUUUUUAAAAGUACAGGUUGUGAUAUUAAUUCUCAUCUAUUCAUUUAUUAUGAUGCAAAGAACAAAGUAAAAUAUGUUACAAAAUAUGUUACAAAGAGGAUUCAUUUUUUGUUCCAAAUCAAAAACAUUUGUAGAAUGUGAUGUAAUGACCAUUAAUGCCAUUAACAUUCAUAUUGCGUUAUCAAAAUUAACUUUUGACUUUACAAUAACUACUAUAUAAAUUUCCUAUAUAAGUAAUGCCUUUAUAAAUGCUAACACAACCAAUAGAAGGAAAACAAAACAUUUUUCUCCUUUCUUCUUAUUCUCAGAAUAUUUUUGGACAAUUGAUUUUGGGCAACCUCAAAACUGUCAGCCACGAGUGUACGUAUUUGAGAGUAACUGCGGAACUUUGGGGAGCGAUCAACUACAAUGAUUUGUGCCGGAGUGGAGUCGAAAUCGCUCUGAAGGUUCAAAGGCAAAUAAGAGAAAGUCUCGAAAAAGGAAUAUAUGAAGAAGACAAGUCAAUUCGACAAGUCGGAGAGUCAAAUUCAAUACAUUAAUGGUCCUUGUUUUGUUUGUGGAAAAGUUAGUCACAGGGUUGCCAAGUGCUAUCAAAGAAAAGGGUAGGACUCAAAAUAAGGACGAACAAAGUGAUGUCCAAGAUCAUCUUAUUGAGGGUAAUGAAGUGAUUGUUGUUGUAGUCUUUGAGGAGAAUCGGAUGGCUAACUAAACUUAUUGGGUGCUAGAUACAGACACUUCAAGGCAUUUUUGUGCCAAUAAGAAUUUUUCAUGACAUUGAGGAGUCUAGUGAUGGCGAGAGUGUAUAUAUGGGUAAAUCUAAUUAUUGUUGUAGUAACGGGUAAAAGAAAAUUUUUAUUUAAAUUAACUUCUUGAAAUACAUUCUCCUUGAACAAUGUUUUAUAUGUUCUAUCCCUCCAUAGAAACAUAGUUUCCGGAGCACUUCUCAACAAAGUAGGCCUUAGACUUAUUUUUGAAGAUGGUAAAAUAAUUAUUUCUCGUGGAGGAGACUUUGUUGUGUAGGAAUAUCUUAGUGGAGGAUUAUUUGUAUUGAACAUUGUUCAAGAGAUUGUCAAGAGUGAAAGUAUUUCAAAUUCUGCUUA